UGACCUUAUAAUGUCAUCAUUUACUUGUACAAACAUUUGCUUUAACCAGGUCUACCGGUACUUGUGAUACCACUGAGAAAUGUUCUGUUGAUGUUUGUGGUGGGGGACUGCAGCCAAAAUUCGGCGGCAGAUUACAUAGAUUGACGGCCCUGUAGAACAAAGCGGACGACACAACGACAGGCACGCCGAGCUGGCUAUGACAAUACCUGGGGUUUUCUCCGAAAACAGCCGAGCUAAAAACUUAUAAAUUUAUAACUUUUUUACUGAAAACAGUUGAUAAUUUUAAAACAGUGGCAGGCUUUGAAUUAAAAAGAGCAUAAAGAAUGUAAAAUUGAAUUUAGAUAAGAUUGGACGGAUAUAAACAGUUUCAGCAUGGGCCAUGUUAUCUAUAGCUUGACCGGAUAUAUCCUCUUGCAUAAUUGCAAUAGUAAAUUGUACACAUAGAAGGGCAAUUAGACUGGAACUGGAUCAAUUGCAUCAGUAAGGUGCUAUUUGGCAUCAAAAAUGUGAAUCUAUUAUGAAAAUUGUAUUCAACUGCUCAAGUAUAGAUUAAAAGGGCAGGACAGGGCCUCGGAACAACAGGGCGGGGCUUUUGAGUGGCAACGCAGAGCACCCUUCCAUUUAGACCUAGCUGGAGAACUGAAGCGCUAUCGCACCACUGUGCUCCCUCUGACACAACACCAGUGGAAUAUUGAGAGCAAACAUACACUGCGCGACCCGUGAUUUUUGCCGCGAUUCUCGCAUCACCGCAAUUGAUGCAAUGUGACAAAUCCCGGUGAUUCCGAGCGACAAGAAAUUUGGGUGAUGCCUCGGCAACUCCACGGUGACCGUUGGCGAUGUAUCUCGCUGUUACACAAUCACGCCUAAUCACCGCGAACCGCUGUGGUUCACCUUUUUAAGCAAUUUUCUUUGAGGGUUACACUAACAUGUACAUGUAACAUAUAUGUAUACACUUACAUUACACAUUGCAAUAAUAAAGCUUUUGUUGUUGUUGGUAUACAAUGGGCGUAUUAGCUAAAAUACUCCCAUUCCGACAUGAACUUGAUGAAGCAAUGUCGGAAGCUUUAUCGGCUGCAAAUUAAUAUAACAGCGCAGAAUGAUCAUGCAAUAAUUGUUGAACAUAACAUGUAAACAUUAUUUAACUUAUUGCAUUAGAAGAAUGUUUAUUAAAACUUACAAGCAAUAAUAUUCCAGGCCCGAAUAUACUACCACUGUUCAAAUUCCAUAUUGUUGCCAUAUACAUCUAGCACUGUGUAAAUUGAAAGUUGCAUAGUGUUUCGUCAUUGGUCGGUUAUAAAUACCUUGUUUCUCUUUACAUGGCAUUUGAUUAAGACGAAACUAAUAAUUUGAUAAUUAACGGGGAAUAUGAUAUCCAUUUAAACUUUGAUCUUACCGUGUGUGUUUAUUGACAUUAUUAAUUAUGUUAAGACUUAUUUUUGCAUUUCAUUAAGAAUUACAACGUGUAGCCCUUUUGUUAACAGUGUUUAGCAAAAUAUUCGCGCCUUUAGACACGGAAAAUUGUUUACGUGACACUUUCAUUUAAAGGUUAAAUGUAAUCGGUAGAUUACGUCUAAUUAUUUGGACUAAAUUAUGCGAUACUUAUUUAUUUUAUUUUCAAGCUCCAAUGCGGAUAACUUGUGUUACUCGCGUUACUUUCCGAGCGUUGUACAUACAUUCACAAUGCUUGAUA